rnacentral:rRNA from 1 species
UCUUCAGCAGCCGCGGUAAUAGGGAGGGUGCAAGCGUUAAUCGGAAUUAGUGGGCGUAGAGCGCACGCAGGCGGUCUGACAAGUCGGAUGUGAAAUCCCCGGGCUCAACCUGGGAAUCGCAUUAGAAACUGGCAGGCUGGAGUCUUGGGGAGGGGGGUAGAAUUCCAGGUGUAGCGGUGAAAUGCGUAGAGAUAUGGAGGAACCCCGGGGGCGAAGGGGGCCCCGGGGACAAAGACUGACGGUCAGGUGAGAAAGCGUGGGGAGCAAACAGGAUGAGAUACCCUGGUAGUCCACGCUGUAAACGAUGUGGACGGGGAGGUUGUCCCUUGAGGAGCGGCUGCCUAGCUAACGCUUAAUCUUACCGCCUCGGGA